UACGGGGGGGGCAAGCGUUGUUCGGAAUUACUGGGCGUAAAGGGCUCGUAGGCGGCCAACUAAGUCAGACGUGAAAUCCCUCGGCUUAACCGGGGAACUGCGUCUGAUACUGGUUGGCUUGAAUCCGGGAGAGGGAUGUGGAAUUCCAGGUGUAGCGGUGAAAUGACGUAGAUAUCUGGAGGAACACCGGUGGCGAAGGCGGCAUCCUGGACCGGUAUUGACGCUGAGGAGCGAAAAGCCAGGGGGAGCA
rnacentral:rRNA from 1 species